AUUGAAUGCUGGCGGCAUGCCUUACACAUGCAAGUCGAACGGCAGCACGGGAGCAAUCCUGGUGGCGAGUGGCGAACGGGUGAGUAAUACAUCGGAACGUGCCCAGUUGUGGGGGAUAGCCCGGCGAAAGCCGGAUUAAUACCGCAUACGACCUACGGGUGAAAGCGGGGGAUCGCAAGACCUCGCGCUAUUGGAGCGGCCGAUGUCGGAUUAGCUAGUUGGUGGGGUAAAAGCCUACCAAGGCUACGAUCCGUAGCUGGUCUGAGAGGACGACCAGCCACACUGGGACUGAGACACGGCCCAGACUCCUACGGGAGGCAGCAGUGGGGAAUUUUGGACAAUGGGCGCAAGCCUGAUCCAGCCAUGCCGCGUGCGGGAAGAAGGCCUGG
rnacentral:rRNA from 1 species